rnacentral:rRNA from 1 species
UACGUAGGUGGCAAGCGUUGUCCGGAUUUACUGGGCGUAAAGCGUGCGCAGGCGGUCUGCUAAGAGAGGUGUGAAAUCCCCGGGCUUAACCUGGGAACUGCGCUUCUAACUGGCAGGCUUGAGUGUGGCAGAGGGGGGUGGAAUUCCACGUGUAGCAGUGAAAUGCGUAGAGAUGUGGAGGAACACCGAUGGCGAAGGCAGCCCCCUGGGCUAACACUGACGCUCAUGCACGAAAGCGUGGGGAGCAAACAGG